UUAGACCAUCUCCAAUGUAUAGCU
rnacentral:siRNA from 1 species